UUUCUUUUCCUUAACUGUAGAACUCAAAAAUGAAAAGAAAGAGCCCGCACUUACCCAAAGCCCCAAGGGGCCUUCCUUGCCUCUCCUAUGUGUGUUUCUUCACCCAGGUGAAAACUCAGUGUCCGUCAGGAUUGUCGGCAGUAGUAACCGAGGUCGGGCUGAAGUUUACUACAGUGGUACCUGGGGGACCAUUUGCGAUGAUGAAUGGCACAAUUCUGAUGCCACUGUCUUCUGCCGCAUGCUGGGUUACUCCAAAGGAAGGGCCCUGUACAAAGUGGGAGCUGGCACUGGGCAGAUCUGGCUGGAUAAUGUUCAGUGUCGGGGCAUGGAGAGUACCCUGUGGAGCUGCAGCAAGAAUAGCUGGGGCUAUCAUGACUGCAGCCACGAGGAGGACGCAGGCGUGGAGUGCAGCAUCUGACCGGGAAACCCUUUCACUGCUCUGCUCCCGAGGUGUCCUCUGGCUCAUACAUGGGAAGGCAGAGGAUCUCCGAGGAGUUCCCUGGGGACAACUGAGCAGCCUCUGGAGAGGGGCCAUUAAUAAAGCUCAACAUCAUUG
rnacentral:sRNA from 1 species